UACGUAGGGCCCGAGCGUUAUCCGGUAUUAUUGGGGCGUAAAGAGUACGUAGGCGGUUAUGCAAGACAAUGGUUAAAAUCUCCGAGCUCAACUCGGAACGUGCCGUUGUGACUACAUAACUUGUCGAUAGCAGGGGCAAGCAGAAUUGUCGGUGUAGGAGUGAAAUCCGUUGAGAUCGACAAGAAUACCAAUGGCGAAGGCAGCUUGCUAGGCUAUUUGAGACGCUGAGGUACGAAAGCGUGGGUAGCGAACGGG
rnacentral:rRNA from 1 species